ACCUCAUCCUAUGAGGAUGAAUAUCCCUGUUCAACAUCUCAUCCUUCAGACUUCAGACAUCCUGAUGGACGAUCUGUGGUUGUGGUGCUGCCCGAGUGGAGUUUACUAGUGAUGAAAGGAGAAUGCUGCUAUCUGUGGUCCCACAGUAUCAUAGGCUGGAGGGUCAGGCGUUAUGACCUCUGACUUGAGUAAUCUGACCCUGAGUCGCUGAGAAACGAGGACAUCGCUAACAUUUGGAAAAUCCGUCAUAUACCCCGCAACUGUGCCUAUCCAUCUGUAUGUGAUAGCCAGCUGCCACCCUCUCCACCCACAGUGCCUGUUGCUGAAGGCAAUGCAUGCUGUUUGGAGGUACAGUAUGUUCAUCAAGUCUGUGAAGAAAUUUCGUCGCACUUCAGCAGCAUGCGACACUUGCCGUGUCCCCAGGUUCCUGACUUCCUGCUGUCCCUGCCACCUGAUACUUUUCUGGUGGGCAUUGGAUGCGGAAAUGGCAAAUACCUGGGGAUAAACUCUGACGUGAUUUCGUGCUAAUUUGGUUCAGAUCUGCGUUGAGCGAGGGUUGUGAGGCAUUUGUGUCGGAUGCCCUGUCUGUCCCACAGCGCAGUGGCAGCUGUGAUGCCUGCAUCUCCAUUGCUGUCAUUCACCAUUUCUCUACACAGGUGUCUUUGUUUCGAAAAAAUUAUGCAGUGAAAGUGCAUGGUGACUGAGGACAACAAUCUGCCUAACAUCGCAAGGGGGUAAGAAGACAGUCAGUAUCAAAGAGCUGGUCAGGUUAUUACUGAAAGUGGGAGGAAGAUCUCUUAUCUACGUUUGGGCCAUGGGACAGGAAUACAACCAGAAAUCGAAAUAUCUAAAAGAAAACAAGCAGCAAACUAGCCUGGACAAUCAGGAACUUAGAACUGAUGAAAAUAACCCCAACCAACAGGAGGAGAAUGUUGGGAAAAUGAGUUCAGACAUGACACGUAUUGAGGACAGUUCUGAGAAUGCGACAACCCAGAAUACACGUACAUGCUAACCGCACAGCUUUCCUUUCCCAAGAUCUUCUAGUGCCAUGGCACUUAAAAGGAGGAAGAUCUGGAGGAGCUGUGUUCUGCUGUGACGGGUGUUAAAGUGUUUAGGAGCUACCACGGUCGGGGUAACUGGUGUGUGGAAUUGGAGAGAACACUAGAUGCCUCUUCACGGAAUGAUACUGCACAGGGAAAAUAACCUUUUUUUUUUUUUUUUUUUUUUAAAUCAUGGGUCAUUUAACUAAUUGAAUUUUAUUAAUAAAGAACAUUUAAUAUGAGCAUGAAACAUUUUCAUUGAUGCAGUGACUAAUUAUUGAAAAGUCAAAAGGCCAGUGACUGAAUUUCAAAUUCAGUGUUUUUUGUAAAACUGUGUAAGAAUUUGUAUAUGCCUUGUGCAAAACCU